rnacentral:rRNA from 1 species
CCUGCCAGUAAUCAUACGCUCGUCUCAAAGAUUAAGCCAUGCAUGUGUAAGUAUAAAUAUUAUAUCUUAAAACUGCGAACGGCUCAUUAUAUCAGUUGUAAUCUCUUUCGUAAUCCCUUACUACUUGGACAACCGUAGUAAUUCUAGAGCUAAUACAUGCAUAAAUACCACGUAGUGGUAGCGCUUAUUAGAUUGAAACCAACUUCCUUCGGGAAGAUUUAGGUGACUCACAAUAACUUUGCGAAUCGCAUGCUUUUUGCGGCGAUGGACGAAUCGAGCUUCUGCCCUAUCAGCUUUGAUGGCAGGGUAUUGGCCUGCCAUGGCUUUAACGGGUAACGGAGAAUUAGGGUUUGAUUCCGGAGAGGGAGCCUGAGAAACGGCUACCACAUCUAAGGAAGGCAGCAGGCGCGAAAAUUACCCAAUACUAAUACAGUGAGGUAGUAACAAUAAAUAACACAGCCCAGCAUUUCAUGUUGGGCUUUUGGAAUGAGAACAAUUUAAAUCCAUUAUCGAGGAUCAAUUGGAGGGCAAGUCUGGUGCCAGCAGCCGCGGUAAUUCCAGCUCCAAUAGCGUAUAUUAAAGUUGCUGCAGUUAAAAAGCUCGUAGUUGGAUUUCUAGCGAGGCACGAGAAUAUCCACCUAUGGUGAAUACUUCUCUCGCCUUGCUCUUCUUUAGUUGAUGUCUCUGGCAUUAAGUUGUCGGAGUCCUGAGACUAAUCGUUUACUGUGAGAAAAUUAGAGUGUUCAAAGCAGGCUUAUGCCGUUGAAUAUAUUAGCAUGGAAUAAUAAGAUAGGACUUCGGUACUAUUUUGUUGGUUUGCGUACUGAUGUAAUGAUAAAUAGGGACUGGCGUGGGUAUUCGUAUUUUAAUGUCAGAGGUGAAAUUCUUAGAUUAUUGAAAGACGGACGACUGCGAAAGCAUCUACCAAGUAUGUUUUCAUUAAUCAAGAACGAAAGUAUGGGGAUCGAAGAUGAUUAGAUACCAUCGUAGUCUAUACCAUAAACUAUGCCGACUCAGGGUGGUCUGUCGAUUUAACGAUAGACUGAACUGUAGGAGAAAUCAAA